GCGGAAACGAGGGAGAGUAAAUAAAGCUGGCCAGAGAAGCUUGGCCGCCCCUUAUUAACAAGGGGAGAAAGAGAAAAUGAAACAAACGGCUUCUCAGAACUGAAAACAGAGUUUUUAAGGUGGCUGUGGACUGAGCUGUGGUUCCACCGGGGGAAAAGGAGGAACGGGGGUUGACAGACAAAAAGCUUCCUGUCUCCCUCACUUCUGCUCCAAACGUCUGCUACCAUCUGUCCUUUUUUUCCAGUCCAGAUUCGAGCCCCUUCGCCAAUCCCACCAGGUUGACUUCUCAAGUCCCCGUUAUUUUUGAAAACACGAGGAACUCUGAGAUUGAAGACGUCUGCAGAUGGCUGGAGAAAAGCACGCAGUGUCCAAGGUGUUUCCAUACUCCAUGCUGUCUGAGUUAUCUCUUCAGCCUCCUCUCGGCCUCCGCAGAUGCUUUCAAUCACACUGUUUACUCUUCAGUCCAAUUAUUUGGGUCUCGAAAAAGCUUUUUCUCAGAUAAACAUUUAACACAUGAGGGGGAAAAAAGGGAAAAGUGCAGAAAAAGUGCUUGGUUUUAGACCUGCGUUCGGGUUCAAACUUCCUCUUCAGGAGCACAAAUAGAGACAGACAGUGUUUUCAGGCCUCUGAAGGGAGGCCUCUAAUGACAUGCAGCCUUGGUGUGAGCUUCCGAGGAUUAGCAAUCUCCUCUUUGAUCCAGACACAAAGAGCUGUGAAUCCUCUGUGAUAGCGGAACUGGUACCUGAUCUCUAGAUUACCACUUUGCAUGUGUUCCCGUCUAUUCCCCAGCUUGCGUUUGGGGUUGCCCGGACAACGUAAGUGAACAUCGGGAAGGUGAGUGUGGAACCAAUUAAUUGACGGAGGCCUUUUGCAACCUGGGGGGACAAAAGGCUACGCUGCGCAGGCUAACGCUGCAGAGUCCCGCCUUUUAUUCUGAUGUAAAUCUCCACUUUUGGGCCACGAACUGCGAAGAACCGAGCAGAUGAGCCACAAGACAACAACCAGGACGCGGCAGAUCGAGACAAAGCGAAGGAAAUGAAGAAAAUCAUCCCGGCCGUUUUUCAAUGAAAGCCACAGAUGCGAGGAGCGGCUAGGCUAAUGAGGCACUUCCAAUGCUUCAGUCAACCCAAUAACAAACAACAGCCACCCUCGUACGAAAACAACAGCGCGGCACAGAGUGAGUCAUUUGGUUAAAUCUCAAAAGACUGGCGGGGAACUCAGCGAUUAGAAUGUAUCUCCACCCUUACAC
rnacentral:lncRNA from 1 species